GGAUUGGGAUAUUCCGACUCCUUAAGGGCCUGGCGCACAUAAGGGCCACAUCUGCCAGAGCCUGGAGUCUGCGAAGGCCGGGACCCGGUUCCCCGGCCCACAGUGGGGGUGUGCAAACCCGAGAGAACUGGUCGCUGAAACCUCUACAACUUAGUUGACCGUAACUGCCAGAGCCCUGCCCUGAAUUCCUGUCCUUACUCCCUCUUUAAGAUUGCGUACCCACUGCAGAGUGCUGAAGACGGGGUAGCCACGAGGUUGCAAAUUCGUGAAGAAUCAGCAUCAUGUUUGGCAGCUGAGUAUUGGAGCCAGGAGCCUGCCAUGAGGUUUUGAGAACAGAGUGCUGUUUUAGAGCUGGCAGCAGCAUCUCAGCCCAAGAGAAGGUUAUAUUCCCAGAGGAUGUCAGUCCCAAGGACCAGUAGCUGCCAUCAGUUUGGAUUCUGAAAACUAACUGGCAUCAACACUGGGUGUAGAAACAUGCUUGCCUUAUGUAUCAGAGGACAUGCUCAGCAGAUCCAAGAGAUAUAUUUGGCAACUUUUUCUAGAAAAGGCACAUUGGGUAUCAUUCAUUACAUUCUUGAGUUUUUUUGGGUUUUUUUUUUUUUUUUUGAGACAGUCUUGCUGUAUUGCCCAGGCUGGAGUGUGGUGGCACAAUCACAGCUCAUUGCAUCCUCAAUCACCCAGGCCUAAGCAAUCCUCCCACCUUGUAGCUGGGACUACAGCUCACAGCACACCUGGCUAAAAUUUUUUUUUUGUUGAGACGGAUUCUCUAUGUUGCCCAGGCUGGUCUCAGGCUCCUGGGCUCAGAUGGUCCUCCUGCCUCAGCUUCCAAAGGCACAGGCCAAGUUGUAGCUUUGUCCCUUGCCAUCAUGCCCAACAAGAGGUUCUAUACCUUUUAAUGAAUUGACUUUCAUAAAUUGGUUAUGUUGGUGGGCAAAGUUCUUUAAGCUGGAAAUUGUAAAUUCCUCCUGAAAUGUUUUUUCAUGCAGUUACCAUGAACUAAUACUACAAUAAAGGAUGGUCUUGGGUGUCAAUUCUUGAA
rnacentral:lncRNA from 10 species